rnacentral:rRNA from 1 species
GAUGAACGCUGGCGGUGUGCCUAAUACAUGCAAGUCGAGCGAACCUCUUCGGAGGUUAGCGGCGGACGGGUGAGUAACACGUGGGCAACCUACCUUGUAGAUGGGGAUAUCAUCGAGAAAUCGGUGCUAAUACCGAAUAACACUUUUCUUCACAUGGAGAAAAGUUAAAAGUUGGCUUCUGCUAACACUACAAGAUGGGCCCGCGGCGCAUUAGCUAGUUGGUGAGGUAACGGCUCACCAAGGCGACGAUGCGUAGCCGACCUGAGAGGGUGAUCGGCCACACUGGGACUGAGACACGGCCCAGACUCCUACGGGAGGCAGCAGUAGGGAAUCUUCCGCAAUGGACGAAAGUCUGACGGAGCAACGCCGCGUGAGUGAUGAAGGCCUUCGGGUCGUAAAACUCUGUUGUUAGGGAAGAAUAAGUACCGUUCGAAUAGGGCGGUACCGUGACGGUACCUAACCAGAAAGCCACGGCUAACUACGUGCCAGCCGCCGCCGUAA